CACUCAUAAUGCAAAAGAAAACAUUCAGUUCAGAUCUAUAUCAGCUUUAUCUGUCAUGAAUUCUCAGAAGCAGAACUGGCAUGGUAAGCUGAAAGUUUG
rnacentral:snoRNA from 2 species